GCGUGGCCGGAGCCGGGAGCGGGGCCGCGGCCCGGGACCGGGAUGCGGUGGUGGCCCGGGACGUCGUCUCGCUGUUUGGGGCGACACUAUGCACCCGGCCGUGGCGGUGGGGUUGGUGUUCGGCGGCUGCUGCAGCAACGUGGUGUUCCUGGAGCUGCUGGUCAGGCAGUUUCCAGGAUGUGGGAACAUAGUGACAUUCUCCCAGUUCCUAUUUAUUGCAGUGGAAGGCUUUAUCUUCGAAGCCAACUUUGGGAGGAAGAGGCCGGCCAUACCAAUAAGGUACUAUUUCAUCAUGGUGGCCAUGUUCUUCACUGUCAGUGUGGUGAAUAACUAUGCCCUGAACUUAAAUAUCGCCAUGCCGCUGCACAUGAUCUUCAGAUCAGGCUCUCUCAUAGCAAGCAUGGCUCUAGGUAUCAUAAUUUUGAAGAAAAGAUACAGCGUAUCUAAAUACACGUCCAUAGCCCUGGUGUCCCUGGGGAUCUUUACCUGCACUUUGAUGUCUGCAAAGCAAGUGGCAUCUGACUCCAGCUUAAAUGAAGAGGAUGGACUCCAGGUUUUCUUGUGGUGGCUGCUAGGUAUUGCUGCACUCACCUUUGCCCUCCUCAUGUCUGCCAGGAUGGGGAUUUUCCAGGAGACGCUGUACAAGCAGUUUGGGAAGCACUCCAAAGAGGCUCUUUUCUACAACCAUGCGUUACCACUUCCUGGCUUUCUCCUCCUUGCCCCAAACAUCUACCACCAUGCAAUCCUCUUCAGCCAGUCUGAGCCAUUCCAGGUCCCAGUGAUCGGGCUGACUGUGCCAAUUAUGUGGUUCUACCUUCUCAUGAACGUCGUCACUCAAUACGUCUGCAUCCGCGGCGUCUUCAUCCUCACCACGGAGUGCACCUCCCUCACCGUCACGCUGGUGGUGACGCUGCGCAAGUUUGUCAGCCUCAUCUUCUCCAUCCUCUACUUUCGCAACCCCUUCACCGCCUGGCACUGGCUGGGCACCAUCUUCGUCUUUGUGGGGACUCUUAUGUACACGGAGGUGUGGAACAGCCUCGGGCCCUUCCUGGCUCGCUGGAGAAAGAGGCCGAAGGAGGAGUAACAGCUGGGGACUCUCUGCAGGGACCUUUUUAUUGUUUUUUAGAGCAAAGCAGCAGGGAAUCCCCCGGAAGGGGGUUGUUUUUAUAACACGGGGGAGAUGUUGGCUGUGCCAAGCUCCUGGGAAACAUGGAGCCUCCGCUGGGAACCUACCUGAAAUGGAUCAUGGAGACACGAUACGGUUAUUUUUGCAAGGUUGCAUUUUUUUUAUGCAACCCUUUUUUGCUUCCAACCUCUCCCCCUGUUUUUUUUUCAUUUGAAUAACCCUUUUUAAGUACUGUAAAAGCUGACCCAGUUCUCUGUUAGGAGCCCAGCCUUGCUGUGGUGCUGUUGUCCACUCCUCCUAGCUUUGAUGAGCUGGACCCUGAGCCUGUUUGGUGCCGUCCUUUAAUGUCCAGGUGGCCGAAGCGGAUGUCUGAGCCCCGGGGAACUGCUGUUUGUGCAGCAGGUUGUUAGUUACACUGGAAAUGCCCAGCCUGGCUGUUCAUCUGAGCCCUUGUUGCCUGAUCCUACCACCUGUACUGGGAGGUGGCGGAUACACCUAUAGCUUGAGCCUUCCAGUCUGCCCAGUAGAUCCUCCACUGGGGAAUGGCUCAGGGGGCUGAUUCCCAAGCCACUGAGCCCCCGUCACUAGUAGCAGGGCCUAGGGAGCCUGAGGAAACCAAAAGAGGAGUGAUGCUAAGGGGACAGAAAGUGCCGCUGUGUCACCUUCACAGCCUUCUCGGGGAGAGGGUGAAGCGAUGCUGAGGCUUUGCCAAGGCCUCUGAUGUUGCCCUGGUACUUCACCAGCCGGAGCGUGUCAUGGGUUCCUCCUGCUUUGCUUAGGUCCUCAGCGCAGGUCACUUUUCAGUUGCUUCCUGCUUUCUCCCUCGUUACAAGUGUGUUCAGUGGGCUUCAUUUCCAGCAGCCAGCUGCAACGAACUCUGCUGAGCCCCCAACGUGCCUGUGGUCCCCCCGGGUCCAGCCCAACCUCAGGGUUCAAAUGCUGCCAAGAAACUUAAGAAAGGCCAGUACAGCUGAGCUUAUUUCUGCUGCUGGGGGCGCUGGUUUUGUAGUUCUCUUUCUCUGCUUUCUUUCUCUGCUUUCUUUCUCUGCUUUCUUUCUCUUCUCCUCUCCCCCACCCCUUGGGCAUCAGCUUCGCUUGUGGCAUUUCUGUGCAUCAUAGCAGCAUCCGCCUGGCACCAGGCCGGUGUCCCUCAGUGUCACCCCUGAGCUGGGGCAGGGGUGGCCUUCAGGAGCUUUGGGUGUGUGUCCCCACGCAGGCAGUGCGCGUCUCCCAGCAAGGUGAGGAGCAGCAACCACAGCUCUUCUAGGAGCCGCUCAGCGUUGGGCAGAGCAGGGGUUAGCGUGCAGCCUUGGUCUCGGAGCAGUGAGGAGCACUGCUUUGCGCUGCCUCAGUUUUCCUGGAGGACCUUGUCUCAUCAUCAUGAUACUGUCCCUGCUCAGCCGCGAUAAUGAAGGCAUCCAGCAACGUCGACCUGAUUCGCGUCAAGCUUGGCCAACUGGAAGAUGGGUGCACUGUCCCUGCAUUGACCAAAGACCUCAGCGCAGGGUGUGAGUACAGUUACUUCACCCCUCUCCAGCCCGAGAGGGAGGAGGCGAAGCAGGAGCAUCCGUUAGAGCCACACAGCCGAGUUUCCCAUGUAGGAGGUGCUGGGUACCGGCCAGGGAAGAGAUAGGUGACAUCGUUUCUGCUGGGAAGAUGGCUGUGGCUUCCAUCAAGAGAGGAGAGGAGGAAGCAGUCCUUGGAGCAUCAUGCCUGCUGUGCUGGUGGCUGCUUCGACCUUUGAGAAGAGGAAGAAAUACCCCAACAUCCUUCCAUCAGCUGAGACUGCUGGCUUGUUGGUAGAUCUCCAUUCUGAGAGCUUGGAAGUCACCGCAGCUCAUCGAGUGCGGUUGGUCAUGGAGGUGUGCAGUCACACACGCUGUGUUUCAGAUGGCCUGAAGUCCUAUCAGCUGGGUGCAGUCACACAAAACGCAGGGUGGGCAGCGCUGCAUCACGCCCUGCCUUGGGGGAAGGUGGAGAGCAAUGCUCUGAGUCAACGCAAUGUCAAGUGAGAUAAGAGGAGAGGAACGUGGUCCUCCAUAGUCCCCACAGUUGACUGAUGGCAGCCCCAAAGCACGGGCUUAGUGCAAGGAAUACCACUCCUGGCUCCUUUUGAACCCCACAUACUCUCCAACAUAUGGGAAACCAUCCUUCUGCUGGAGGAUUUACAAUGCCACCCCAUCUCCUCUCCAUGCAGGCACUAACUGCUGUGAGCCUCUGUGCUGUUACCAGCCAGGAAAGCACUGUGGAAUGGAGAUGUGGAUCUCCAGAGAAGAUCUCUUCUCUGGAAGGACCCUCAGCAUGGCGGGGGGGGGGGGUUUUCACUGUGGAGCCUUCAUGCCUUUGUCAUGGACGUUGAUUUACACCUUCGUGCUUCUACUUGCUCUGAGAUAUGAGCAGGGAAAAAAACCACAAAUGAUAAAAAUGUAGGCACCGCCUCCUCCUCCCUGCAGGAAAAUUAAAUUCAGCUUCAGCUACAAGGAUUCCUCUCCCUCUGCCUUACAAGAGGCAGAAAAAAAAUAUCUCAGAAGCUUGAAAUAUUUUGUGAGGGUUACCCAAAGGGUAUGUCCAAGAAACAAGAUUGAGUGCAGAGCUUACGCAGGGUCUGCAGUGCUGAGCACCCCAGGGGCUGAGCACCAGGGCUGCAGGGCUGACUCUGCACUAAGGGGCGCUUGCUUGAGCUCCAGCCCUGCGGACCAUGGGGAGAAGGUCUGUGACUCCAAACGCAGCCGGUGAUUGAAGUAAUCAGUAAAUGGACGGGGAACCCAAAGCAGUUUGCAGGGCUGGAGUUGCUGAAGUGACACCGUAGAUGUGUGGGGUGACACCGGGAAAAGAUCCGAUGGGUCUCCUUCAAGCCCUUCACCGGCUCUCCCUUGGGUCAGGGAAGAGAAGCACAGGCAGUUGGUGUAAUCACACCGAGCAACAACUCUCCUCGCCCCCACCACGGUACUGUUAAAAAAAAAAAAAAUUAUAAUUCAUUUUGACAGCUGCCAAAUUAGCAGCAUAUUAGGCAGCAUAUUCAAUUAGACAAGCUCCUGAGGGAGCAGGCAGAGGUAGCGGGGCAGCCAGCAGCUGCUAGGACAUGACAUGGUGCUUCAGGAAGGUAUUUUUAGAAAUGGAUGUGCGUGCUCUGCAGAGAAAUAAACAGCUCUUUGGUCAACACUGGCAACUGUUCCCCAUCUGUUUUCAGAAUGUGCUUUAAAAAAAUAAAAUAAAAAGGUGUAGCUGCUGGAUUCACAGUGGUCUCACAAGCAAGUCAAGCUUCUAUCAGUGGUUUCCAGCUACUAGGGUUUCUAGGGCCCACAGCAGUGGGUUUAAUGGAGGAGGGAAGCAGGGACAUGAAGGUCAGAGUACCAAACGAAACCAUUUUGCACCUAUUUUUUUAAAAUGCAGCUACUAAUUUGGGGAGCUGCCACGUCUCCGGUUCUUAUCUUCUACCAAGCCGGCAGCAGGUUGCCCUGGCUGCCUAUGCACUCUCUGACUGUCCAUGGAGCGUCUUGGCCUCCAGCACUCAAUAUGCUCAGCAGAUUUCCAGGAGCAGCUAUUUAUGGACCUAUUCUGCAGCCCCUGGAAGUCUUCACUGAGCUGUGCAUCAAACUUUUAGCUAGCAAACUUCAUAUCCUCUCCUUCAGGCACAGGUCUGUACUGAAACACUGUCCCCUUAUGUCCAACAAACCCAUCAUUCCUUCGUUCAGCACCAUCUUGUCCUACAGCAUCUGUGUUGGAACUCCUACCACCCUGCUACUGGCCUGAGGGAGGAAUCAGGAUAAAACAGCUGCCCUUGACUUCCCAAAACUCUUUCGCAUAAGCACAGUCUCCUCUGCUUCACCUCAAAGACCCGGCACUCAAGCAGAGACACAGGACUCCUGGGUUCUGACCCAAUUCCUGUAAAAAAAAACCUCAUGAGAUAACACGAAUCAGUGGAACUUCUCUCUGCCUUGAUUUACCGAUGCGUAACAUGGGGCUACGAUGCAGCACGUGUGAGAAGAGCGC